UACGUAGGGUGCGAGCGUUGUCCGGAAUCAUUGGGCGUAAAGAGCUCGUAGGCGGUGUGUCGCGUCGGUCGUGAAAACUUGGGGCUUAACUCUGAGCUUGCGGUCGAUACGGGCAUCACUGGAGUUCGGCAGGGGAGACUGGAAUUCCUGGUGUAGCGGUGAAAUGCGCAGAUAUCAGGAGGAACACCGGUGGCGAAGGCGGGUCUCUGGGCCGAUACUGACGCUGAGGAGCGAAAGCGUGGGGAGCGAACAGG
rnacentral:rRNA from 1 species